CUACCCCAUGGUCCUUCCCUGCACUUACCAGAGCAGCUGGGAAAGUAGUUUGCCUUGUAGCUGACCUGCCAUGUCAUCCAGAGUCCUGUGCUCCUGGCACCCUUCUGGAUCACAGUGAAGACCAUGGAAGACAUAAUGUCAAGGAAUAAGGUCAGAGUUGGAAGAGUGCACACCUGCUUUGAAGGUACAGUGCCUUUAAGAGAAGGCCUUCAGCUCCAGGCCUGUACCGUGCAGAAGGGCACCCCAAUUCUAUAUGGAGGAUCAAAGCUUUGCUCUGAGGUAAUAGAUUUUUCUCCUGGAAGAACAGCAAAAAUGAAGCCAGUCGAGAAGAAAACCCAUCGUCAGUUACAGUAUGAACUAGCAAGGAAGGAAAGGAGAUUGAAGAUAGAAGCCUGUAAGAGGUGGAGGAAGAGACUAAAGAGAGAUUAACAGAACUGUCAAAGGAACCCAAGACAAAUUUUGCCAUUGGUUGAAUUGCAUGAAGCUUAUUUUUCUGACUUUCUUCUUCUUUCAGCGAUUAUAAAUGAGUGGAUGUCAGGGACUUAGAAACAGUUCCAUGCCAAAGAAUUCAGUAAAUGGAUGUCAAUUUUUUACUGGGAAAAUGCAAAUAUGAAUAAAUUAACCUAUGUGCUUUUCA